rnacentral:rRNA from 1 species
GAUGAACGCUGGCGGCGUGCCUAAUACAUGCAAGUCGAGCGAACGGACGAGAAGCUUGCUUCUCUGAUGUUAGCGGCGGACGGGUGAGUAACACGUGGAUAACCUACCUAUAAGACUGGGAUAACUUCGGGAAACCGUAGCUAAUACCGGAUAAUAUUUUGAACCGCAUGGUUCAAAAGUGAAAGACGGUCUUGCUGUCACUUAUAGAUGGAUCCGCGCUGCAUUAGCUAGUUGGUAAGGUAACGGCUUACCAAGGCAACGAUGCAUAGCCGACCUGAGAGGGUGAUCGGCCACACUGGAACUGAGACACGGUCCAGACUCCUACGGGAGGCAGCAGUAGGGAAUCUUCCGCAAUGGGCGAAAGCCUGGCGGAGCAACGCCGCGUGAGUGAUGAAGGUCUUCGGAUCGUAAAACUCUGUUAUUAGGGAAGAACAUAUGUGUAAGUAACUGCGCACAUCUUGACGGUACCUAAUCAGAAAGCCACGGCUAACUACGUG